UUGACCUCAAAUCAGGUAGGACUACCCGCUGAACUUAAGCAUAUCAAUAAGCGGAGGAAAAGAAACUAACAAGGAUUCCCCUAGUAACUGCGAGUGAAGCGGGAAAAGCUCAAAUUUGAAAUCUGGCGGUUCUUGGACUGUCCGAGUUGUAAUCUAGAGAAGUGUUACCUGUGCUGGACCGUGUACAAGUCUCCUGGAAUGGAGCAUCAUAGAGGGUGAGAAUCCCGUCUUUGACAUGGACUACCUGUACGAUAUGGUGCGCUCUCAAAGAGUCGAGUUGUUUGGGAAUGCAGCUCAAAAUGGGUGGUAAAUGCCAUCUAAAGCUAAAUAUUGGCGAGAGACCGAUAGCGAACCAGUACCGUGAGGGAAAGAUGAAAAGAACNUUGGAAAGAGAGUUAAACAGUACGUGAAAUUGCU
rnacentral:rRNA from 1 species